UAUAAUUUUUUUUAACAUCUAUUGUCCGUCUCCAACAUACUUAUAUAAUAUAAUAUAUAUUAUUACAUCGAACUAUUGUAUUCAAAUGCUUGAAUAAUUUCGUUUUCUCGUGAGCCAGUAAAAUCAAGCGGGAGAUCGUUAAAAUUCAAUUACAUUAGUGUAGAGGCCUCAUGCUAUCGUCCAUAUCUUUACUGUCGUCGUAUUAAUCAACAACAGAUGAUGUCUGAGCGAACGUUGUUGCUAUGCAUUAUAUUUGGAAUAUUACUGUACGUUGUACAUAUAAAAGACGCUAUCUCAAAAGAAUAAAGUGAUUUUAUUACUUUUCAUCGAUUUCAUACUGUCUGCAGCCAUGUACAUGAAACGAUUUUCGCAGCGUUGGAAAAUGAUGUAUUACUGGACGAAUACGUUAUCAUUAUAUGCACAUCACGCAAAAAUAUUAGUAAUUUAUACGAUAUGUAUACACAGAGAAAUUCACCAAGCACGUUCAUCUCCAUAUCUCCGUUUAUUAAAAGUACUUUGGCCCAAAAUAAACCGUUUUGCUCAUGUAGACUAACGGCAGCGGCCAUUCCGUGGCACCGUUUCCCUCACUAUGCGACAGUCGGUGGCGUACUACGAUAUGUUAAAUAGCUGGGAGAUGAGUGAAAUCGGACGCGUUUCAUAUUAAAGUACUCAUGGUUCGAAUUAUAUAAUUGAAAUAAAAACUAAAUUUGUAGACAUCUCGUGGAUAAAUAUAAUAUUAUGAAUUACGAUGAGUAA